rnacentral:rRNA from 1 species
AGCGACUAAGCGUACACGGUGGAUGCCCUGGCAGUCAGAGGCGAUGAAGGGCGUGCUAAUCUGCGAUAAGCGCCGGUAAGGUGAUAUGAACCGUUAUAACCGGCGAUACCCGAAUGGGGAAACCCAGUGUGACUCGUCACACUAUCAUUAACUGAAUCCAUAGGUUAAUGAGGCGAACCGGGGGAACUGAAACAUCUAAGUACCCCGAGGAAAAGAAAUCAACCGAGAUUCCCCCAGUAGCGGCGAGCGAACGGGGAGGAGCCCAGAGCCUGAAUCAGCAUGUGUGUUAGUGGAAGCGUCUGGAAAGGCGCGCGAUACAGGGUGACAGCCCCGUACACAAAAGCGCAUGUGCUGUGAGCUCGAUGAGUAGGGCGGGACACGUGGUAUCCUGUCUGAAUAUGGGGGGACCAUCCUCCAAGGCUAAAUACUCCUGACUGACCGAUAGUGAACCAGUACCGUGAGGGAAAGGCGAAAAGAACCCCGGCGAGGGGAGUGAAAAAGAACCUGAAACCGUGUACGUACAAGCAGUGGGAGCCCCACCACCAAAGCAUUUGCUGUACCGCGUUGACGGAGCGAAGCGACGUCAAACCGAUAAAACAGCAGUGUAAAGUGAGCCGCAGGGCGCUUUGCGCGACAGCGCAAAGGCAGGCGGUUUCGCGUAGCGAAAGCGAAUGCUUUGGGGUGGGGUGACUGCGUACCUUUUGUAUAAUGGGUCAGCGACUUAUAUUCUGUAGCAAGGUUAACCGAAUAGGGGAGCCGGAGGGAAACCGAGUCUUAAUUGGGCGUUAAGUUGCAGGGUAUAGACCCGAAACCCGGUGAUCUAGCCAUGGGCAGGUUGAAGGUUGGGUAACACUAACUGGAGGACCGAACCGACUAAUGUUGAAAAAUUAGCGGAUGACCUGUGGCUGGGGGUGAAAGGCCAAUCAAACCGGGAGAUAGCUGGUUCUCCCCGAAAGCUAUUUAGGUAGCGCCUCGUGAAUUCAUCUCCGGGGGUAGAGCACUGUUUCGGCUAGGGGGCCAUCCCGGCUUACCAACCCGAUGCAAACUGCGAAUACCGGAGAAUGUUAUCACGGGAGACACACGGCGGGUGCUAACGUCCGUCGUGAAGAGGGAAACAACCCAGACCGCCAGCUAAGGUCCCAAAGUCAUGGUUAAGUGGGAAACGAUGUGGGAAGGCCCAGACAGCCAGGAUGUUGGCUUAGAAGCAGCCAUCAUUUAAAGAAAGCGUAAUAGCUCACUGGUCGAGUCGGCCUGCGCGGAAGAUGUAACGGGGCUAAACCAUGCACCGAAGCUGCGGCAGCGACACUGUGUGUUGUUGGGUAGGGGAGCGUUCUGUAAGCCUGUGAAGGUGUGUCGUGAGGCAUGCUGGAGGUAUCAGAAGUGCGAAUGCUGACAUAAGUAACGAUAAAGCGGGUGAAAAGCCCGCUCGCCGGAAGACCAAGGGUUCCUGUCCAACGUUAAUCGGGGCAGGGUGAGUCGACCCCUAAGGCGAGGCCGAAAGGCGUAGUCGAUGGGAAACGGGUUAAUAUUCCCGUACUUGGUGUUACUGCGAAGGGGGGACGGAGAAGGCUAUGUUGGCCGGG